CCCGUUCCGAAUCCAUUCAUAAAACCGUCUGCACGCCCAGCCAUUUCAUUCCGAACAGAUUUCCCUAACAAUUUCACACGAGGUGAAAAGACCGGGAAAAAGGACCAAAAACCAUCAGCGACUAAUAAAAGCGUCUUUAUUACAAAUUUCAUGGCGGCCGGAUAUCGAACACUGCAUGACAUAGUGGCAUCGGUGUUUGUAAAUCAAAACAGCGAGGGUGGGAGCGCGGGGCCAGGCCGUCUAGUCUGCCGCCCGACGCCGGCCGACGCGCACCGCCGCGGUCCUCCGAUACGCGAUUACGAUAUGGAACUGUGUCGUGUGUUUUGUUAAACUCGGAUUAAGAUAUCGAAACACAAUGCUAUAAAAUGCGAAUAGCAACAGUGCCUCUCAUCUCGUUAACGUACGCAGAAUGUGAGGGGAGCUAGCCAGUGACGUGAUGCAACUUGUAAUGCUAAACUUUUUAAUCAUGUUCGACGUGGUGUUCAUAUUCUUCCUGUUCCUGAUUGCUGUGACUUGUGUUAUGAACUACAUGCCGGGCCGGAGCAAGCGCUCGGAGGUGACGGAGGACGAGGUGGAAGAUGACGUCAUCCCGCCGCCGCCAUUGUUCGCUGGUGAUGACGAGGUUCCUACUACCAGCCGGGACACGUACGUCGUGAUCUCGCCCCCGCUAGACAACGUUAGAGCGAAGGACAGCUGUCCUGUGCAUGUGGUGUAGUAUAAGCACUGAUAUAAUAUAUCAACGUAGGAGUUUAUUACGAAGAAGCCUUAUGAGAAUGUAGGUGUCGAAAUGUAGACAUUUUUUACCAAUUAGUCGAGUUUUAAAUGAAUUCUUGUUAUGUAAAGACUAAGAUGGUGGAACACGGGACUCAAGUAUUUGAGUUGGUCUGUAUCAUGGGUACUUAUCAGAGUCAACUUCUUUCGAUUGCACUUUAUCGAGAAAUAGUAAAUAUACAUAGAGCUGUAAAGCGAACUUACAUGGUUACAAUGUAUAGAGGCCGUAUUUAUAAAUUGAAUAUAAAGUAAAUAGUCGCAAUGUUUAAAGAGUGUAGUUAAGAAAA